rnacentral:rRNA from 1 species
AGUUGAACGAUGAUUUCUGGUACUUGUAUCAGAAUGAAGAGUAGCGAACGGGUGAGUAACGCGUGGGUAACCUACCUCUUAGCGGGGGACAACUAUUGGAAACGAUAGCUAAUACCGCAUAACAAUAUUAAACACAUGUUUAACAUUUGAAAGUACCAAUUGGUACACUAGGAGAUGGACCCGCGUUGUAUUAGCUAGUUGGUAGUGUAAUGGACUACCAAGGCGAUGAUACUUAGCCGACCUGAGAGGGUGAUCGGCCACAUUGGGACUGAGACACGGCCCAAACUCCUACGGGAGGCAGCAGUAGGGAAUCUUCGGCAAUGGACGAAGGUCUGACCGAGCAACGCCGCGUGAGUGAAGAAGGUUUUCGGAUCGUAAAACUCUGUUGUUAGAGAAGAACGUUGUGUAGAGUGGAAAAUUACACAAGUGACGGUAUCUAACCAGAAAGGGACGGCUAACUACGUGCCAGCAGCCGCGGUAAUACGUAGGUCCCGAGCGUUGUCCGGAUUUAUUGGGCGUAAAGCGAGCGCAGGUGGUUUAAUAAGUCUGAUGUAAAAGGCAGUGGCUCAACCAUUGUGUGCAUUGGAAACUGUUAGACUUGAGUGCAGUAGAGGAGAGUGGAAUUCCAUGUGUAGCGGUGAAAUGCGUAGAUAUAUGGAGGAACACCGGUGGCGAAAGCGGCUCUCUGGACUGUAACUGACACUGAGGCUCGAAAGCGUGGGUAGCAAACAGGAUUAGAUACCCUGGUAGUCCACGCCGUAAACGAUGAGUGCUAGUUGUUUGGGGCUAUCCAGCCCUAAGUGACGCAGCAAACGCAUUAAGCACUCCGCCUGGGGAGUACGACCGCAAGGUUGAAACUCAAAGGAAUGACGG